rnacentral:rRNA from 1 species
GACGAACGCUGGCGGCGUGCUUAACACAUGCAAGUCGAACGGAAAGGCCCUGCUUUUGUGGGGUGCUCGAGUGGCGAACGGGUGAGUAACACGUGAGUAACCUGCCCUUGACCUUGGGAUAACUUCAGGAAACUGGGGCUAAUACCGGAUAGGAGCUCCUGCUGCAUGGUGGGGGUUGGAAAGUUUCGGCGGUUGGGGAUGGACUCGCGGCUUAUCAGCUUGUUGGUGGGGUAGUGGCUUACCAAGGCUUUGACGGGUAGCCGGCCUGAGAGGGUGACCGGCCACAUUGGGACUGAGAUACGGCCCAGACUCCUACGGGAGGCAGCAGUGGGGAAUAUUGCACAAUGGGCGGAAGCCUGAUGCAGCAACGCCGCGUGCGGGAUGACGGCCUUCGGGUUGUAAACCGCUUUCGCCUGUGACGAAGCGUGAGUGACGGUAACGGGUAAAGAAGCACCGGCUAACUACGUG